ensembl:lncRNA LOC108351965 uncharacterized LOC108351965
AGUAAUCCUCAGUGGGACCUUAUUCUCUCCCACUCCAACACUGCUGAGCGCCUAAGGACUCAACCACAGAGACGAUCCUGUGUGGCUUCCUCCCGUGUGUUUCCCUAGCGGCUUAUUUUUGGCUGCUGCUGCCUCUGACAUUUCUUGCAUGCCCAGACGGAGCCUUCGGAAGCCUCGCCCACCCCUGUCACUCUGGGCCAGCCAGCGGUUCUCGACCUACGGGUCCUGACCAUCGGAAAACAAACAGAUUCUGAGGCAAUGGUUCCUUAAAGCUUCUUGGGAUCAGUGAACACUGUAAAAUCCUCCUGAUUGCAGAUCGAGCUGCAGUUCCGAAAUGCUUUCUGAAGCAUGAGCUAUGUGACAGAUAUGAAGAACAGAAACCAGGGACUGGAGAAAUGGCUCAGGAAUUAAGAACAUGCACUGUUCUUCCAGAAGACCAGCGUUCCGUUCCCAGCACCCGCAUCAGGCAGUUCACAACUUCCCGUAACUCCAGCCCCAGGGAAGAACGACCUCUUCUACACUCUGUCGUCCCUACACCCACUGGACACAUACGAGCACAGACACACCCAGAAAGAUACAUAAUUAGAAUUAAAAUAAAUCUUGAAAAAAUAAAAACAUACAGA